rnacentral:rRNA from 1 species
GAUCAAGUCGAAAAGGGUGUACGGUGGAUGCCUUGGCACCAGAAGGCGAUGAAGGGCGUGGUUAACUGCGAUAAUCCCUGGGGAGCCGUAAGCAGGCCUUGAUCCAGGGGUGCCCGAAUGGGGAAACCCACCAUAGCAAACCUAUGGUAUCCUUACCUGAAUAAAAUAGGGUAAGGAGGCGAGACGGGGGGAACUGAAACAUCUAAUUACCCCCAGGAAGAGAAAGUAAUAACGAUUCCCUAAGUAGCGGCGAGCGAAAGGGGAAGAGCCUAAACGGUAAGAGUGUGAUAGUCGGUAGACGUUGCUCUUGCCGGGUCGUGGGACCUGAUCUGAUUCUACUACCGUAAGAAUCAAAGAGUUAAAAAGUCUUUUUCUAGCCGAAGUGAUAUUGGAAAAGUCCACCAUAGAUGGUGAUAGUCCAGUAGGCGAAAGGGAAAGACCUCUUCAUCAGGCACCCGAGUAUCACGGGAUAAGGGAAGCCCUGUGAGAAUUUGGGAGGACCACCUCCUAAGGCUAAAUACUAACUGGUGACCGAUAGUGAACUAGUACCGUGAGGGAAAGGUGAAAAGUACCCCGGAAGGGGAGUGAAAUAGUACCUGAAACCGUAUACCUACAAGCAGUGGGAGCACUAUUUUUUAAGAUUUAUCUUAAAGAUGUGUGACCGCGUGCCUUUUGUAGAAUGAGCCGGCGAGUUACGAUACCUAGCCAGGUUAAGCAGCAGCUGCUGCGGAGCCGUAGCGAAAGCGAGUCUUAAAUAGGGCGUCAAGUUAGGUGGCGUAGACCCGAAACCGGGUGAUCUAACCAUGGCCAGGGUGAAACAGGUCUAAUCACCUGUGGAGGCCCGAACCCACCAGUGUUGAAAAACUGGGGGAUGAGCUGUGGUUAGGGGUGAAAGGCCAAUCAAACUCGGAGAUAGCUGGUUCUCCUCGAAAUAGCUUUAGGGCUAGCCUCAAAUGUUUUCCUAUGGAGGUAGAGCACUGAAUGGACUAAGGGCCCUACCAGGUUACUGAACCCAAUCAAACUCCGAAUGCCAUAGGUUUAUAGUUUGGGAGUCAGACUGCGGGGGAUAAGCUCCGUAGUCAAAAGGGAAACAGCCCAGACCAGCAGCUAAGGUCCCCAAGUGCAAGCUAAGUGUGAAAGGAAGUAGAAUUACCGAGACAGCCAGGAUGUUGGCUCAGAGGCAGCCAUCAUUUAAAAAGUGCGUAACAGCUUACUGGUCAAGUGAUUCUGCACCGAAAAAUGUACGGGGCUAUAAGCUUGCCACCGAAGCUCUGGAUCCAGAAUUUAUUCUGGGUGGUAGAGGAGCGUUCCCUUACCGGGUGAAGGAUAACCGUAAGGAUAUCUGGACGGAAGGGAAGUGAGAAUGCCGGCAUGAGUAACGAUAAGGAGAGUGAGAAUCUCUCCCGCCGAAAACCUAAGGUUUCCUGGGGAAGGUAAAUCCGCCCAGGGUUAGUCGGAACCUAAGCUGAGGCCGAAAGGCGUAGGUGAUGGACAACCGGUUAAUAUUCCGGUACUACCAGAUUAUCGCUACAAGUGAUGGGGGGACGCAGUAGGGUAGGUCAGCACGAUAAAAGUUACGUGUCUAAGCCCGCAAGGGAGGAGAUAGGAAAAUCCGUCUCCUUUUAAAACCCUAAGAGGUGAUGGGGAGCUGCUACGGCGGCGAACUGAUUGAUCCCACACUGCCAAGAAAAGCCUCUAAACAAGAUAACCUGGUAUCCGUACUAAAACCGACACAGGUAGGUAGGUAGAGAAUACCAAGGCGCUCGAGAUAACCCUCGUUAAGGAACUCGGCAAAAUGACUCCGUAACUUCGGGAGAAGGAGUGCCCCAUUAGGGUGACCCAAUUUACUUGGUUAGCCUGAAGGGGUUGCAAAGAAACGGCCCAAGCGACUGUUUACUAAAAACACAGGUCUCUGCUAAAUCGAAAGAUGAUGUAUAGGGACUGACGCCUGCCCGGUGCUGGAAGGUUAAGGAAGGGGGUUACUCUCACCUCAGGUGAGGGGAAGCUUCUGACCGAAGCCCCAGUAAACGGCGGCCGUAACUAUAACGGUCCUAAGGUAGCGAAAUUCCUUGUCGGGUAAGUUCCGACCCGCACGAAUGGCGUAACGAUUUGGGCACUGUCUCAACGAGGGACUCGGUGAAAUUGUAGUGUAAGUGAAGAUGCUUACUACCCGCGACAGGACGGAAAGACCCCGUGAACCUUUACUGUAGCCUGAUAUUGAAUUUUAGCAUGCUCUGUGUAGGAUAGGUGGUAGGCUGGGAAGGAGGAGCGCCAGCUUCUCUGGAGCCACCCUUGAAAUACCACCCUUAGUAUGUUUGGAUUCUAACCCUUGCCGUUAUCCGGUAAGGGGACAGUAUUUGGUGGGCAGUUUGACUGGGGCGGUCACCUCCUAAAGAGUAACGGAGGUGUCCCAAGGUCUCCUCAGUGUGGUUGGAAAUCACACCAGAGAGUGUAAGGGCAGAAGGAGGCUUAACUGUGAGAGAGACAUCUCGAACAGAUGCGAAAGCAGGGCCUAGUGAUCCGGCGGUAACUAGUGGAUGUGCCGUCGCUUAACGGAUAAAAGGUACUCCGGGGAUAACAGGCUUAUCUCCCCCAAGAGUCCAUAUCGACGGGGAGGUUUGGCACCUCGAUGUCGGCUCGUCGCAUCCUGGGGCUGAAGCAGGUCCCAAGGGUUUGGCUGUUCGCCAAUUAAAGCGGUACGCGAGCUGGGUUUAGAACGUCGUGAGACAGUUCGGUCCCUAUCCGUCGUGGGCGUAGGAUACUUGAAGAGGGUCUGCCUCUAGUACGAGAGGACCGAGGUGGACGAACCUCUAGUGUACCAGUUGUCCUGCUCAGGGCAUUGCUGGGUAGCUAUGUUCGGUCGGGAUAAACGCUGAAAGCAUCUAAGCGUGAAGCCUGCCUCAAGAUUAGGUAUCCCAUCUGGAUCUAUCCAGAGAGAGACCCCGGGUAGACUACCCGGUUGAUAGGUCAGAAGUGUAAGGACAGUAAUGUCUUUAGCUAACUGAUACUAAUAGGUCGAGGACUUGAUCG